rnacentral:rRNA from 1 species
CGCGUAGGCGGCCCUGCAAGUCCGAUGUGAAAUCCCUCGGCUCAACCGGGGACCCGCGUCGGAAACUGCAGGACUUGAGUGCAGGAGAGGAGAGCGGAAUUCCCAGUGUAGCGGUGAAAUGCGUAGAUAUUGGGAGGAACACCGGUGGCGAAGGCGGCUCUCUGGACUGCUUCUGACGCUGAGGCGCGAAAGCUAGGGGAGCAAACGGGAUUAGAUACCCGGUAGUCCUAGCCGUAAACGUUGGGCACUAGGUGUGGGAGGUAUCGACCCCUUCGUGCCGCAGCUAACGCAUUAAGUGCCCCGCGUGGGGAGUACGGCCGCAAGGUUGAA